rnacentral:tRNA from 1 species
GGAGAGAUGGCCGAGCUGGCUGAAGGCGCUCGCCUGCUAAGCGAGUAAGGGGGGAAACCUCCUUCCAGGGUUCGAAUCCCUGUCUCUCCGCCA